CCGGGCUUGACAUCGAGUGAAAGGCCAAGAGAUUGGUCCCUCCCUUCGGGGACACGAAGACAGGUGGUGCAUGGUUGUCGUCAGCUCGUGUCGUGAGAUGUUGGGUUAAGUCCCGCAACGAGCGCAACCCUUAUCCUUAGUUGCCAGCGAGUAGAGUCGGGCACUCUAGGGAGACUGCCGGUGACAAACCGGAGGAAGGUGGGGAUGACGUCAAAUCAUCAUGCCCCUUAUGUCCUGGGCUACACACGUGCUACAAUGGCCGGUACAGAGGGAAGCUAAGCCGCGAGGUGGAGCAAAUCCCACAAAGCCGGUCUCAGUUCGGAUUGUAGUCUGCAACUCGACUACAUGAAGUCGGAAUCGCUAGUAAUCGCAGGUCAGCACACUGCGGUGAAUACGUUCCC
rnacentral:rRNA from 1 species